GGAUUGUGGCUCAGUAGUAGAGCGUUUGCCUAGCAUAUGCAAGGCCCUGGGUUCGAUCCUCAGCACCA
rnacentral:tRNA from 1 species